rnacentral:rRNA from 1 species
UACGGAGGGUGCGAGCGUUGUCCGGAAUCAUUGGGCGUAAAGGGCGCGUAGGUGGCCCGGUCAGUCAGUGGUGAAAGCGCGGGGCUCAACUCCGCGUCGGCCAUUGAUACUGCUGGGCUUGAGCACUAUAGAGGCAGGCGGAAUUCCGGGUGUAGCGGUGGAAUGCGUAGAGAUCCGGAAGAACACCGGUGGCGAAGGCGGCCUGCUGGGCAGUAGCUGACACUGAGGCGCGACAGCGUGGGGAGCAACAGG